GACUAACAGGAUUCCCCUAGUAACGGCGAGUGAACCGGGAAGAGCUCAAAUUUGAAAUCCUGUGUCGUGCUACGUGCGUCCGAGUUGUAAUCUAUAGAAACGUUUUCCGUGCCGGACCGUGUCCAAGUCCCUUGGAACAGGGUAUCAAAGAGGGUGACAAUCCCGUACUUGACACGACGACCGGUGCUCUGUGAUACGUUCUCUACGAGUCGAGUUGUUUGGGAAUGCAGCUCAAAAUGGGUGGUGAAUUCCAUCUAAGGCUAAAUAUUGGCGAGAGACCGAUAGCGAACAAGUACCGUGAGGGAAAGAUGAAAAGCACUUUGGAAAGAGAGUUAAACAGUAUGUGAAAUUGUUGAAAGGGAAACGAUUGAAGUCAGUCGUGACCUUGGGAUUCAGCCGGCCCUGCCGGUGUAUUUCUCAAGGUCGGGUCAACAUCAGUUCUGACCGGUGGAUAAUGGCUGCGGGAAUGUGGCUCCCUCGGGAGUGUUAUAGCCCGCUGUCGCAUACAUCGGUCGGGACUGAGGAAUGCAGCUCGCCUUUAUGGCCGGGGUCGCCCACGUCCGAGCUAGGAGUGACA
rnacentral:rRNA from 1 species